UACGUAGGUGGCAAGCGUUGUUCGGAAUUACUGGGCGUAAAGAGUGUGUAGGUGGUGUCGUAAGUUUGGUGUGAAAUCUCCCGGCUUAACUGGGAGGGUGCGCCGAAGACUGCGAUGCUGGAGUAUGGGAGAGGAAAGCGGAAUUCCUGGUGUAGCGGUGAAAUGCGUAGAUAUCAGGAGGAACACCUGCGGUGUAGACGGCUUUCUGGACCAUUACUGACACUGAGACACGAAAGCGUGGGUAGCAAACAGG
rnacentral:rRNA from 1 species